UUUUUUUCUUUUUUUUCUUUUAGGGCUGCACCUGCCGCACAUGGAGGUGCCCAGGCUAGGGGUCGAAUCAGAGCUGCAAUUGCUGGCCUACACUGCAGCCACAGCAAUAUGGGAUCCAAGCCACGUCUACAACCUACACCACAGCUCACGGGGACACUGGAUCCUUAACCCACUGAGCAAGGCCAGGGAUAGAACCUGCAUCCUCAUGGAUCCUAGUCUGGUUCGUUAACCACUGAGCCAGGACAGGAACUCCUCUUUCUACUUUCUUGAUAUUGCCCUUUGAAGCACAAAACUUUUCAAAUAAAAAGCAAUGAUAAAUUGCUUUUUAAGGAGUUCCCGCUGUGGCUCAGUUAAGGACCUGACGUUGUCUCUAUGAGGAUGGGGGAUUGAUCCUUGGCCUUAGUGGGUUAAGGAUCUGGCAUCAGAGCAAGCUGUGGAAUAGGCUGCAGAUGCAGCUUGGGGCCUGGUGUUGCUAUGGCUGUGGUGUACGCCACAGCUGCAGCUCCAUCCCAAUUUAACCCCUAGCCUGGGAAUUUCCAUAUGCCACAGGUGUUACAAUGAAAAGNUUAAAAAAAAAAAAUACUUAAAAAAAAUCCUUUGGAGAUCUGGAUCCAAAAUGUUUUCCUAACCCAUAAUGAACAGUAAUUGUAUAGUAGGCAGGAAAGUAAUUCAGGAGUGUAUUACAAGAAGAACAAGAAAAACUGAUAAUUAAUUAAAAGGAAAAAUAUUUUGAUGGGUAGGAAAUUAAACUCCACAUAGUUAAUAUAUAAGAAUAAAGGCUCUGUAAUAUAUUUUGACUCUUUUUCACAUGUAUAAAUGCACAUAAAGCAGAUUGGAAGAAGUUAUUUUUACAAACACAAGCCAGAGAAAAAAAUCUAUUCUUAUCCCUAAACCUACUAAGUGGAACUGAAGGGAAAACAGAGCUGGUCACCUGGGUUAAUGGGUGAAUGUCUACAAAUUACAAAUGGCUUUAUUAAAGAAGUUAUUAACUGUACACACUGAACUAUCACUAAUGAUAUUUUAACUAACAAAAGUUGCUCUUGGAGUUCCUGUCGUGGCACAGUGGUUAACGAAUCCAACUAGGAACCACGGGGUUGCGGGUUCGGUCCCUGCCGUUGCUCAGUGGGUUGACGGUCCGGCGUUGCCGUGAGCUGUGGUCUAGGUCGCAGACGCGGCUCGGAUCCUGCAUUGCUGUGGCUCUGGCGUAGGCCAGUGGCGACAGCUCCUAUCCAACCCCUAGCCUGGGAACCUCCAUAUGCCGAGGGAGCGGCCCAAGAAAUGGCAAAAAGACAAAAAGACAAAAAAAAAAAAAGUUGCUCUUGAAAUCAACCUUUCUGGUUAAUUUCCCCUCUCUCUGGAAUCUUUGGUAGUUAAAAAAUUCAAUACACACCUGAAACUUUCACAACUGUUUAUGCAGAGCAUACAAAGGUAACAGCUUAUAAAUUCUUCUUAACUCAAAAAAGAAAAUGGUCAUAAAAAACUAGGACCCACUAUUGUAGUCAUUUCUGCUAAAAGACUUCUCCAAUGUACUCUAGGCUAUUCAUUUCCUUUUGUAAAUACAUUUUACCAUACUUUGAAGAAACAUGAAGACACUGAAAGUCAGAGAAGGAAUGAAUAAAGAAUUCAGAUAGGCAGGUGAAGUUUAAACAACAGGGUUGCUGGUGAAGGUAAACUUGGGAGUAGUCUCUUUGGUGUGUGUCAGUAACACAGGCGAGAAGAAAAACAAUGUGGUCAGAAACCUAGUCAAGCAAUCUCGUCAAAAGAGAUCAGAACUUAAACAGAGUUUAGGUAGCAGAUUUAGGCAAAAACAGUACCCAGCAUCUUGAUGCCUGGGAACUUUUAUAAACUUCCUGCUAAGGAAAGAAUUAAAUUCUCAAACCUGGCCCAAGUCUCAGUGGAGGCCAGUGGAGUACCUGGCUGAAAGGAAGAAAACAGCAGCUUUUGACAUAAACUAGUCAUGAUAAGAUGUUAGAGGGCUGGGUACCUAGGAGAGCUUCUAAAAUUUGGGAUCCAUAUAUAGUCUCCAGAGGGUUCUCUAACUAUGUUUGAAAAUACAAGAUGAGUGGAAGAAAGCAUUUUACCAGCACCUAGGGAACACAGUGUUACCAACGGGCAUUCAGUAGAUCAGUUAGAAAGCCUUGGCUGUAAAUAAUUAAUAAAACCCACUCACACUGUGAAUAACACUCAAACAAUAAGGAAAUUUAUUAUGUCAUACAACAAGGAAGUUCAGAGGUAGGGCAAACCUGAUAGAUGUUGUUAUAUAACAUGUCAUGAAGGAUCCCAGACUCCUCCAUCCUUUACUCUGCUGUCUUCAGUCAGAGCUUCAUCCCUCAGGUAAGAGCUUCAUCCUCAGGCAAGAGAAAGAUGAUAGCAAACAUUCCUGGCAUCAUAACCCAGACAUGCCAAUAUCCAGAGAAAGAAGACCACUUGUAGGAGUGAGCAAGUAUUUCUAAGAGCCCUGGCACAAGUGGCCCACGCCUAGUUUGGGUUAGGGAAUAGAAUAACCAUGAUGGGUUUAGACUGGUAAUCUGGGAUGGAUUAAAUGUCGGAAUCAACUAUUUAUACUAAGUUGUUUUUUGUUGUUGUUUUUGGGUUUUUUUGUGUGUGUUGGGGGGGGGCGUUUGGCUAUAGUGUGCAGCAGCUUGAUGUGCGAUCUCAGUACCCAGACUAGGGAUUGAACUCAGGCCACAGCAGUGAAAGCACUGAGGCCUAACCAGGAAACUCCUCUAAGAUUUGGCUUUUGUUGAGAUUUCCUCAGUUUCCCCUUAAGUUGUCUAAGUUAUUAUAAGUUACAAUUAUUGACUUAUAUCAGUAAAGAGAUAUCACUUAAUCUUUUUGCUUAUCUGUUUCGGUAAAGAACUUUUUUCUUCUCUCAGCCGUAAACAUAAAUGGCAACUGACAUACUAAUGUCCUUCUGCGAUGAUGUGGAAGAAAACAGGUAUCUGACUACUCGGCUUGUAAACCCAACUUUUACAGUGCUGAAAAAUGUCAAUGUCUGGCAGGGACAUGAAUUCACGUUAACUAAAGCACACACAUGUGAAAGAGUUUAAUCACAUGUGAGUCAGUAUGACUAAGGUUUAGAAUUAAUGGUAUAAAUACCUACUAUUGAACUCAAGGGAACAGGGGGUGCGAGAAGGGACAUUGUGACCUGUCUUGAUUCCAGCAAGACAGGUAGUUAAUUAUACACUGACCCUUAUCUAACAUCAAAAUAAAGACUACAAAGACCAAGCAAUUAUGGGGUGAUGAGUAGUAACUGCAAGUGAAAAGUCACAGUGUCCUUAUCCAUAAGGAGGCCUGGGUGAAUUGUGCCACAGAUGCAAUAGGGGAGGGCCUCUAUAUUUCACUCAUUUUUCUCUUUUUCUUUUUGGCCACACCCAUGGCAUGUGGAAGUUCCCCAGGCCAGGGAGUCUACCUUUCACUCCUUUUUUUUUAGGGCUGCACUUGCAAAUAUGGAAGUUCCCAGGCUAGGGGUCAAGUCAGAGCUACAGCUACUGGCCUACACCACAGACACAGCAACAUCAGAUCCUAGCCACAUCUGCAACCCACACCAUAGCUCACGGCACAGCUGGAUCCUUAACCCACUGAGCAAGGCCAAGGAUCAAACCUGAAUCCUCAUGGAUACUAGCUGAGUUCAUUACCACUGAACCACAAUAGGAACUCGCUACCUUUCACUCUUAAAAGUAAAGAGGUUAAAGAAGUUCAAGUCCCACCAAAGAUCACUAUUUCCAGGUACCUAAACUCACUCUGUCUCAUUCCUGGCAGGCCACACAAAGGUGUUGACAGAGCUGUGAACUAUUAAAUAGUGCAAAAUUCCCCAGUGAAAGCACCCAAAAGAAUUUUUAAAGGAAGGUUAUUUUUCACACGUGUUAAAGGGAAAAUCUCAAAUGUACAAUUCUAACGGGAAAGGAAAACACAAUGGAAUGUAAGGAUCCUUUUUUUUUUUUCUCUUCAUAAUUCUCCCUGAUUUCAUUAGAUAUAUACAUGUAGCAGUGGUAUUCAAACUUUUCUGAGCAGAAUGCACAAUAAGAACUCAUUUUCUUUUUAAAAUUAUUAUUAUUUUUUUAAUGGCCUCAACCUGCCAACAUAUGGAAGUUUCCAGGCCAGGGACUGAAUCCCAGCCACAGCUUCUACCUGCACUGUGGCUGCUGCAAAGCCAGAUCCUUUAACCCACUUCACUGGGCUGGGGAUUGAACACACACCUCCACAGUAAACUGAGACCCUGUAGCUGGAUUCUUAACCUACUGCUCCACAGCAGGAACAUCAGAAAUAAAUUUUACGUGGAGACUCAACACACACAUAUACACAUACUUUAUAUUUUUUCUCUCUUUUUCUCCCCUUUUCAGGCACACUUGUGGCAUAUGGAAGUUCCCUGGGCCAGAGAUCGAAUCCGAGCCACAGUUAUGACCUAUGCCACAGCUGUAGCAACACCAAAUCCUUAACCUACUGUGCUGGGCUGGGAUUGAACCCAUGCUGGCUCAGAGACAACACCAAAUUCUUAACCUGCUGCAACUCAGUGGGAACUCCCACUCUUUAUAUUUUCUAAAACUGAAACAGGGAAUUCCCUGGUGGCUCAGUGGAUUAAGGAUCCAGUGUUGUCACUGCUGUGGUGCAUGUUCAAUUCCUGGCCCAGGGACUUCUGCAUGCCACAGGCACAGCCAUAAAUAAAUAAAUAAAUCUGAAACAAAAACUCAAAACACAAGAGUUAAACUUUCUAAGUACAUGCUAGUUCUAUUCCAUUUCAUUUAAAAGCAAAUGCUGGGGAGUUCCCAUCGUGGCGCAGUGGUUAACGAAUCCGACUAGGAACCAUGAGGUUUCGGGUUCUGUCCCUGUCCUUGCUCAGUGGGUUGACGAUCCAGCGUUGCCAUGAGCUGUGCUGUAGUUUGCAGACGUGGCUCGGAUCCCGCGUUGCUGUGGCUCUGGCGUAGGCCAGUGGC
rnacentral:lncRNA from 1 species